rnacentral:rRNA from 1 species
CGCGGCCUAUCAGCUUGUUGGCGGGGUAAAGGCCCACCAAGGCGAUGACGGGUAGCUGGCGCGAGAGCGCGACCAGCCACAUCGGGACUGAGACACGGCCCGAACUCCUACGGGAGGCAGCAGUAGGGAAUUUUGGACAAUGGGCGAAAGCCUGAUCCAGCGACGCCGCGUGAGGGACGAAGGCCUUCGGGUUGUAAACCUCUGUUGCGAGGGAAGAAGCCACCGCAAGGAUGGUGACGGUACCUCGCGAGGAAGCCCCGGCUAACUACGUGCCAGCAGCCGCGGUAAGACGUAGGGGGCAAGCGUUAUCCGGAUUCACUGGGCGUAAAGGGCGCGUAGGCGGCUAUGUAAGUCGGGCGUGAAAUCCCCGGGCUCAACUCGGGAACUGCGUUCGAUACUGCAUUGGCUUGAGGAUGGUAGAGGCUCGUGGAACUAGCGGUGUAGCGGUGAAAUGCGCAGAUAUCGCUAGGAACGCCGGUGGCGAAGGCGACGGGCUGGGCCACUCCCGACGCUGAGGCGCGAAAGCCAGGGGAGCGAACCGGAUUAGAUACCCGGGUAGUCCUGGCCCUAAACGGUGGGUGCUAGGUGUGGGGGACUUUCGUCUUCCGUGCCGCAGCUAACGCA